rnacentral:rRNA from 1 species
GACGAACGCUGGCGGCGUGCUUAACACAUGCAAGUCGAACGGUAAGGCCCUUCGGGGUACACGAGUGGCGAACGGGUGAGUAACACGUGGGUGAUCUGCCCUGCACUUCGGGAUAAGCCUGGGAAACUGGGUCUAAUACCGGAUAGGACCCUGGGAUGCAUGUCCUGGGGUGGAAAGCUUUUGCGGUGUGGGAUGGGCCCGCGGCCUAUCAGCUUGUUGGGGGGGUGAUGGCCUACCAAGGCGACGACGGGUAGCCGGCCUGAGAGGGGGACCGGCCACACUGGGACUGAGAUACGGCCCAGACUCCUACGGGAGGCAGCAGUGGGGAAUAUUGCACAAUGGGCGCAAGCCUGAUGCAGCGACGCCGCGUGAGGGAUGACGGCCUUCGGGUUGUAAACCUCUUUCAGCACCGACGAAGCGCAAGUGACGGUAGGUGCAGAAGAAGGACCGGCCAACUACGUGCCAGCAGCCGCGGUAACAC